rnacentral:rRNA from 1 species
GGGAAUCUUCCGCAAUGGACGAAAGUCUGACGGAGCAACGCCGCGUGAACGAUGAAGGUUUUCGGAUCGUAAAGUUCUGUUGUUAGGGAAGAACCGCCGGGAUGACCUCCCGGUCUGACGGUACCUAACGAGAAAGCCCCGGCUAACUACGUGCCAGCAGCCGCGGUAAUACGUAGGGGGCAAGCGUUGUCCGGAAUUAUUGGGCGUAAAGCGCGCGCAGGCGGCUUCUUAAGUCAGGUGUGAAAGCCCACGGCUCAACCGUGGAGGGCCACUUGAAACUGGGAGGCUUGAGUGCAGGAGAGGAGAACGGAAUUCCACGUGUAGCGGUGAAAUGCGUAGAGAUGUGGAGGAACACCCGUGGCGAAGGCGGCUCUCUGGCCUGUAACUGACGCUGAGGCGCGAAAGCGUGGGGAGCGAACAGG